rnacentral:ncRNA from 1 species
CAAAAAAGGUAGGGUAAACCUCUGCCUAGUCAUAUUUUCAAUAUGGCAAAACCUUCAAAUUGCGGGAAAGUCUUAAAGACAAAUCUACCAAGUUAAUACAGUAAUGUGAUUAAUGGAACAGGUAAUGACUCGUUGUACGGUAAAAACGAUUUGUAUGAAGAAAUUAAGUAGACCAUCCGCAGCCAAACACCAAAAACUACUGCUCGCUCAAGUGGAUGGUGCGCAGUUCAUCGACUAAAUGUAGGUUGGUAAAUAAUUGUAUACGACUCUUUUUUCAAUAAAAAAAAGUUUUGAGAAGAUAGGACAAAAAUUAUUUGCUUAAGGUAUAGUCAGGCAUAACCAAAAAGUUAUG